GUACUUCAAAUUAUUGGAAACGAAAACAGUUUCUUGAUUGAUGUUCACCUUGAAAGGAUUCAAGUGAGUGAUAUUGGUCUUGCAGCGAUUUCGAAAUGUGUAAAUAUGGAGAUUUUGCGCAUCGUGAAAACCCCAGAAUGUUCGGAUUUAGGGCUUGUUUGUGUGGCGGAGAAUUGCAAGCAACUAAGGAAGCUUCACAUAGAUGGAUGGAGGGCUAAUACAAUUGGA
rnacentral:misc_RNA from 1 species